UGGAAUUCCCCGUGUAGCGGUGAAAUGCGUAGAUAUGUGAAGGAACACCAGUGGCGAAGGCGACCCCCUGGACUGAUACUGACACUGAGGUGCGAAAGCGUGGGGAGCGAACAGGAUUAGAUACCCUGGUAGUCCACGCCGUAAACGAUGUCUACUAGCCGUUGGAAUCCUUGAGAUUUUAGUGGCGCAACUAACGCAUUUAGUUAACCGCCUGGGAAGUACCGCCGGCAG
rnacentral:rRNA from 1 species